GCCGGCGAGAGAGGUGGAGAGCG
rnacentral:miRNA from 1 species